UGGGGAAUUUUGCACAAUGGGGGAAACCCUGAUGCAGCGACGCCGCGUGAUUUAGAAGGCCUUCGGGUUGUAAAAAUCUUUUCUAUGGGAAGAAAAUGACAGUACCAUAGGAAUAAGGACCGGCUAAUUACGUGCCAGCAGCCGCGGUAAUACGUAAGGUCCGAGCGUUGUCCGGAAUCAUUGGGCGUAAAGGGUACGUAGGCGGGUAAGCAAGUUAGAAGUGAAAUCCUGUAGCUCAACUACAGUAAGCUUUUAAAACUGCUCAUCUUGAGAUAUGGAAGGGAAAGUGGAAUUCCUAGUGUAGCGGUGAAAUGCGCAGAUAUUAGGAGGAACACCAGUGGCGAAGGCGACUCUCUGGUCUGUAACUGACGCAGAGGUUCGAAAGCGUGGGUAGCAAACAGG
rnacentral:rRNA from 1 species